AAUACUGUAAACUAUGGCAGCGUGUAGAAUCGCAUGGCCUAACAGGAGUUAUGUGCCAAUAAAUACCAGUUUGUGGACCUCAGUGGAAGUAUGCCAAAAUAGGAUCAGAGAGAUAGGCAUGAAGGAGGCCAUUUAUGGUGACCCAUUGAAGAUUCCAGAUAUGCUUAAGUUUCUGGUGGGAAUUAUGGACCUCAUGCUACAAUAAGACCCUUGCUACCAGUGAUGUAAUAGAAAAAAAGUGAGGAAUUCAAGGUCCCUAACAUGCCAAGAGCAGCUUUUAGUGCUGGUCUGACAGGAGGGAUUAGUACAUCUAUAGCAGUAUUUUGUCACGAGCUGCCCCAUGAAUUAGGUACUGGAAGGCUGCAACGAGGUCUCCCCGAGGCCUUC